rnacentral:rRNA from 1 species
AACGAACGCUGGCGGCAUGCCUAACACAUGCAAGUCGAACGAGACCUUCGGGUCUAGUGGCGCACGGGUGCGUAACGCGUGGGAAUCUGCCCUUUGCUUCGGAAUAACAGUUAGAAAUGACUGCUAAUACCGGAUGAUGUCUUCGGACCAAAGAUUUAUCGGCAAAGGAUGAGCCCGCGUAGGAUUAGGUAGUUGGUGGGGUAAAGGCCUACCAAGCCGACGAUCCUUAGCUGGUCUGAGAGGAUGAUCAGCCACACUGGGACUGAGACACGGCCCAGACUCCUACGGGAGGCAGCAGUGGGGAAUAUUGGACAAUGGGCGCAAGCCUGAUCCAGCAAUGCCGCGUGAGUGAUGAAGGCCUUGGGUCGUAAAGCUCUUUACCAGGAUGAUGAUGACAGUACCUGGAGAAUAAGCUCCGGCUAAACUCCGUGCCAGCAG